CCCUCAGCUCUUUUCCAAGAAAUACGGAGCCUAUUUGGUCCACUCCAGAGAUUUUAUUUCCACACAAGACAGACCAAGAGCCCAGAAUGUUGGAGCCUUCGCGGAUUUUGUGCAGAAAGCCAAGCUUCAGAAAGUUCAAGGCCAGCCACGCCAGGACUCUCAUUUUCCAUCUUCCGGUUCCCCCGCCCUUGUCACGGGGACAGGCCUAAGGCCCGGGAAGCAGGCGUCCCCGGGGACAUCUCUGCGCUGCUGCACGGCCCGGCCCGCCCACUCUGGAUCACCUGUCAGGUGAGAAGGACCUUCUGCCCUGGAGUCCCCAUCCCCACAGGAGGCCCAGUUACAGAAAUGCGAACCUUGAACCUUUUCGUCCCACCGUGCUCGUGGUCUUUCAUUUGGGUUCAGAUGAGCAGCCUGUGACAGUUAGCCCUCAAGAGAGGGUGUUUCCAGUCUGAAGCUGCUGACCUUUUUUUUUUUUUUUUUAAAUGCUUGGCUUUUAAAAAUUUAUUUAUUUGUGGCUGUGUUGGGUCUUCGUUUCUGUGUGAGGGCUUUCUCCAGUUGCGGCGAGCGGGGGCCACUCUUCAUCACGGUGCACGGGCCUCUCACUAUCGCGGCCUCUCUUGUUGCAGAGCACAGGCUCCAGACACGCAGGCUCAGUAGUUGUGGCUCACGGGCCCAGUUGCUCCGCGACAUGUGGGAUCUUCCCAGACCAGGGCUCAAACCCGUGUCCCCUGCAUUGGCAGGCAGAUUCUCAACCACUGCGCCACCAGGGAAGCCCUGCUGACCUUUGUCAAAAUCAUCUUCGUUGACGGAGGGGAGACGGCGGUGGCGCGGGACUCAGCACGCUUCUCAGAAGCAAGGCCCCCAGAAGUGUGCUCUUUGUUCCAUUUUAUGUUUAUCUUCAACUUUUUAUUUUGAACUAAUUUCAAACUUAGAAAAAGGUUGGGAAAAUAGUAAAUACAAACAAACAACCCCAUACAGCCCUUACCUGGGUUUACCAAUUCUUACCAUGUUGCCGCGUGUUUCGCCCGUCUCCCGGCUUCCCCGCGUCCGUCACCCUUCAGUACUGCGUGCGUGAGCCUAUGACGGAGGACGUCCUCCUAAGUAGCCUCAGCUGGCGUCACCCAGAGAGACGGCACAGAGUCUGCACUUUGGUCUGAUGUGCAGCCAGGUGGUUAGCCGGGUGGCCGCCCCGUCCAUCCUCCUGUCCUCGCUCUCCUGGCCUGGACGCAGCCCAGGAUCCCUGCGGCCUUCGGGUGUCACGUCCCUCAGCCUCUCUUUCUCUUCGACAGCCUGGGUAUUUCGGAGGAAUAGCAGUCGGCUGUGCAGUAGAAGCCCCCUGAGGGUGGGCGGGUCGGGAGCUCUGUCAGGAUUGGACUCAGGGACGCAUUUUUGGCUGGAGAACCAGGAUGCCCUUGCGCUGUGUUGUCCCUGUGCUGGAUUCACCCAUUUCUCCGAGGACCUGGUUCUUUCGUGAGGAAUGGUGUCUGGGAAUCGGGACGUGGCUGUCCAGCUGCUCCAACACCAUGUGAUAAGAAGUCUGUCUUCUAUACUGGUUUGAGAUGCCACUCCUCUUGAGCUGGAUUUUCUUGGGCGUGUGUCUCCGUCUCUGGUCUUGGUGUCCUCUCCCGUUGGUCACUGUUGGUCCAGCCUGGGACCCGUGUUGCUCCGAUCCAGGCCUUCAGCGCUGCCCACCCGGACGGGCUCCGGCUCCGCAGGGUCACAGCCGUGCUGCAGGGGACACCCGUGUGCCCCACCUGCUGUGGGCCGGAGCUUCGGGGUCAUCGCAGGAGUGGAAGCGCUGGGUCCAGGCCUCCGCGGAUCUCCUUCUCCUGGCUGACACCAGGGGGCUCAGGUCUGUGUGGCUUGGCCCCCUGCCCUGCCGGGCCCAAGCAGACGCUGGGGUCCCGGCACCACCCCUCCCGUCUCUUCCGACCGUGUGGCUACUCGUGCUUGCCAGCUGUGUCGCCGGUGCAGGCUCAUCGUGAGGGCUCCCUGUUCCCGUUGAUCUGUUUGCGGUGUGGGGGGGUCCCUCUUCUUCCUGAUGAUUCUGUGCCCCUUGAAGCCCGGUUGCCCGUCGAGCACCUCGGAGUCGGUGUCUCCCCAGCCGUCACCUCCAGGCUCUCUGCGCCUCUGCAGGUCACGCAGGGGAGGGGCUCGUGAGAGGGCGUUCUCCAGCCCAACAGCCACGGUUCUGUUUAGUCUGAUGCAUCUAAUGUAACUACUCAUCUGGGUGGACGCAGGCCUGAUCUACUCUUGUUCCUUGUGCCCAUGCCUCUUCUGAGUCGGUCUGUUGUUCUCAUACUCCAUUGUAAUUUCUCCUUUUUAACUGCACGCUCAGCUUUCAGGGGCUGCUCUGGGAAUCGCGUUCUUCAUCCUUCGCCUGUCAGUCCAGGUUAUUCCGUAUCGUGUGACGUGAGAGCAUUGAUGUCCUCCAGUUUCUAUAAUGUGUAUUGACUUAAGUUUCCACUUUGCUCUUGUUGCAAUUUCACCAUUUAUAGUUUCAAAAAAUGUCUUUCAUCUACACUUCAUAAUUAUUAAUGCAUACUUUUUAAAAAUAUACUUUAUUUUGGCAAACCUCUUAAUGUCUAGUUGUUUUGGUUGGUUCUAUAGUUUAUUUGUAUCUCUUUCUCAAGAUUUGUUUAUAUCAUUCAUCUUUCCAAGCAGUAGGGGUUUUUGGUUAUUCUUUUUUUCCCCAAUAAUCUAUUUAUUUGUCCUUAUAUUUAUGUCCUUCCUUCUUGUUACUUUGAGUUUAUUUAGUUUUCCUCUUUGUAAAUUUUUAUAUUGAAUAUUUUGUUUUCCUUUAAGUAUUGCUUUAACUUUGUCCCACAAAUUCUGACAUUUUUGUUUUCAUUUUCAUUCAGUUCUAAAUAUUUCUUAACCCCCUUCUUUUUUACUUUUAAAUGCAAGCGUUAUUUAGUAAUGUUAUUUUCUUUCCAAAAAUGUGGUAUUUUAAAAAAGAGUCUUAUCGUUUUGGUAUUUGUUUGGAAAUGUAUUGUCCUGUUCUAGAAAGAACAUGACCACUUUGUUACUUUGGAAUUUAUUGUGUUUCCUUCUGUCCAGCAGCUGCCCGGGCACAGCCCCCAGUGCCUGCCGCUGACUGGACAUCGCUGGGCCACGGCGCUUUCUUCCCUGAUGAAGGAAGCAAGGCUGUGGUCCUGGUCUGAGACAUCUGGUUUUCCCUUCUGGGUCAAGGAGUGUCUCGGUCUCCCGGCACUGCCUACAGUCGCCCCCUAUUAGACCACGGCUCAUCUGCACGCCAGUUGGAACAGCAGGUAGGAAACUUUCCAUUCUUGUGCUAGGGAACUGUGACCCUGAGAAGCCCUGGACACUAGUCUGGUUCUGGUGACACUGGCUGUGUGAAAGAAUGUGAAAUUAGAGCUCUCUUCCAUCUUGGAGUCCCCUAGGGUGUAUUUUACAAAACUGGGACAUUUUCAGCUAGGCUCCUAUGUAAAGGAAGAAAAUGUUAUUUUAUUGUAACACUGCUUAGCCCCAGUAUUUCUUGGGGUCCAGGGAGAAAUGGCCCCAGUAGCUCUCUAAAUCACACCACCAUAUUUCAUCUAAAACUGGGGAAGGUAAAUGGUAUGAAAUUCUUCAGCCUUUAUGCUAUUGAAUCAAAGUGAGCCUUCUGGAAUGGGUUUGGCUCUUACCUUGGGUAGGUAUGUGUUUGUGUCUUGGUGCGUGAGUCCAAACCCUGUUUUCUCUUCCUGGUUUGAACCUCGUUAGGGGGUCCUGGUGGUCCUGGUUUUGGGGGAGACCCCACUGGUAGGAGAGAAAUUGAAAGGAUUAAUUGUUCUCAGAGACCGUCCUGGUAUUGGCCCUCAUUACAGGGCCCUGGUAACCUGAACGUGGUGUAGACACUCGUGGAAACUGAUGCUUAAGCUGCUCUGAGCCUGAUUCAGAGCCACCUGCAAGUUUGUCCGGAAGUGAGCUGUGUGAAUGUGAGUGAAUGACAUGCGCUAUUGUGUUAUUUAAACUGAAUUGGCUAUUUGGGUACUGAAGGAACUCUCACCUUGAAAAUGGCCAAAAUGGGGCCUCUUGAUGUUCUAAGAGACUGGUUGUUGCAUAUGCAGUGAGGGGAAGCUGGCUUCCUAAGAGGAACUUGCUUUACUCUCCCUGUGCCUUUGAGAAACAGAUGUUCUGACAAUCUCCAGUUCCUGAGACUGAAGAGAAAAAAGGGAAGGAGAGUUUUAACUGAGAUCUGUGUCUAUAUGGGUGUCUGUGUAUGUUAUAGAGAUAUGUCUUUACCUUGAGAUGCUAUCAAAAUUAAUUUGUAAAUGAGCUCUAUGUAAUUGGCUUAAAGGAAAUUAAAUGCUUAUCUAAAUUCUCAGAAAUAUAAAACUAACCCACCCAAAUGCAUUUCAGGUUCACAUGAUCCGGGAAAUAUUCAGUAUUAAAUAUCUGGUGUUAAAGUUUAAGCUUGUUGAUGGCUGAAGACAGAGAUGCCUUCAGAGGCAUGAACUAUAAUUUUUAUUGUAUUUAGGAAAGUUAAUAAGAUCUUAUUAAUCCUGUUACAGAAUCUUCACAAGGAAAAUAACUUGAUACAAUGGAACUUUUAAUUUAAUUGAAUUAUUAAAGGACACUCAAGUUUGUUUCUGAAGCUCAUCACAGCAGUCUCUCUUUGGAUAAAGAUCAUACAUACUGGAAAAGGCAUCACUGAAAGGACUGUCUCCAACCUAGAUGGAAGGACUCUUACGAGAGGCUAGGCCACUGUGAAGCACUCGUGUCAACUGCACCAGGCUACCGCUGACUGAAGAAAAACUCACAACCUUCAGUUUUUUGGGGCCUUACUGAAGACUAUAUAGCCUGUCAGACAGGCCUGCGAGGCUACGGAGGAGCCAGGGCCAUCCAAUCAGAGCCUUGGAGAGGAGAAACCCACUAACCAGAAGUAGUGGAUGUAGGUAACUGACCACAAACCCAACAACUGCAAUGACUGCUAAAAUCUGCACAGGAUCGUACCCAUGACAGAAAAACAUUUGAUUCAUGCAUAAAGUCCAAGAAAUCAAGAAAAUGUUAUAAAUAAUCAUACGGUCAGGUCCAGCAUCUUGGGAUAGCUGUCUCCUGAUGUCAUCAUCUUCUCGUCCUGGCGUUGGUGUUUCUUUCCUAUCAGAGCAUCGCUUUAAGGUGAGUUUGAGGUCAGCAGUCCUCUCUAUAGACCAGACGGUGCCUCUUUAGGUGGGAAAUAUGAAUCCAAGAGUCAGUUACCUUCGAUUUUGCUGUGCAUGAGCUACUUAAAAGAACCUGAUAGGGACUUUCCAUCGAGGCUGGAGAGAGUCCUUUAAAUGAUGCCUUUUCCAGUAUACAGAGUCUCCUGGUUGUAGGUCAUAGGGCAUCUGAUCAUCAUUUAAAGAAAGCGUACUGUGAUCAGUUAUGCAUUAACACUUAUAUGCAUUAACUUAUGCAUUAACACUUAUAACGUCCUGUUAAUUCAAUUAAACCCUUGCAAUAACGUAACCUAUCCCUUUUCAUUACUAUAGGUUCAUAUAAUCCCCUCAUCCAGUCUCACUGGUCUCCCCCUGAUAAUCUCAAAAGGAAACAAAUGUUUUCCAAAACAGGUGGAUCUGAGGUUGAGGAGAACCAAUGGAAGGGCCUCAGGCCAGAGCCUCAGUCUUGGCAACGUGAUCAGCUAAAGAGUUUCCUUUUGCUUCAGCAGUGUCAGCCUUUGAAUGAUACCUUAAUGGCAAGUGCACCUGGCAUGCAGAAUGGCAUCCAACAAGUCUGCUACAUGUUUACCAUUUUUAAUAGGCUGUCCUCGGGAUGUUAGAAAUCCUGUUGCCAAAGCAUACCCAAGUCAUGGUCCCCCCCAGAAGCAUGGCGGCCGUCUGUGUAGCUAUCAGCGGGCUUUCCUUUUGCCAACGGGCAGGCUCUCAGUGCUAUUAGUUCAGCCUGUUGGACAGAAGAGACAUGAGACAAGGGACCAUUUUCUAGGACAGACACUGGAGGAACAAUGGCAUAGCCAGCCUGGCACCUCCCAUGAGGUCCUCGCAGAUACGCACCACCCAUGAGUAACAAAGUCAGGAUUAUCCAUUGGGCUUUCUUGAAAAUCAGUCCUGGGAUAGAAGAGAGAACGUCUGAGUCUUCUGGGAGCAAGGUGACUGGAUAAAGUUAGUCACACCUGUGGGGAGAGAUUUGGUGAGAGCGAGACAAUCUCAUUAGAAGUUAAUCGGCCUGAAUAACGUGUGUGAUGAGAGUUUAGUAAAGCUUCCGUGGCAUGGGGGACAAAGAUGGUGAGAGUGACUCACGAUGCAGCACAGCUGUUGCUGAGACAGCCCCGGGACAAGGGCGGGGGAAGCCCUUGUCUACUGCAGCUGUAUAACCGUUAUACAGCUGGCUGUAUAACCUAUUGGUGGGUAGUACCGCCGUGUUGCUGGGUUAAUACUCCCUGUGGCACCUUUGUUUUCAUGUACAAAGAGAAAAAGGGGUAAAUCAUAAAAAGCUGGGUUCUUUUUAGUGUCUCCCUGGCUUCAGAAUGUUUUAUUUCCCAGAGGUUCAGCUUGGCCUUGUUUGAACAAGUUACAUAAUGGUUGGGCCACUAAAAUAAAAACUUUGUAAUCUAGUUCCUGCAAUAGCCUGCAGGAUCUAGAAAUCCCUCAAAUGCCCUUUUGUCCUAGGGGCAGGGAAAGCCAAAAUGUAUUUCACCGUCAAUUAAAGAUCCUUUAGAUAUCAUUUGUUCUAAAUAUUUCACAUUAGCCUUACAAAAUUGUAAUUUUUCCUCACUUUGUCCCUUUGAGCUAGUCUUGAAGUACAGGCUGUCUUCCUAUUUAUCAAAGAAUUUGAACACAAUAGCAAAUCACCUGCACAUUGUAUCAAAACUGAUUUAUGAGGAAAAGCUAGAUCAUCUAGGUACGUUUUUAAUACCUGGGAAAGGUGAGUACAGCCCUGCCACGUUACAGUCCGUGUAUGCUGCCGUUCAUCCCAAGUAAAGGCAAAGGGUACUGGCCACCAGGAUGCACAGGGAUGCUAAACAGUGCACUGUGGAGGCCCCAGAAAAGAAGUCACUGUUCUUAGGAACACAGGACAGAAAGGCAUGGGGGUUGGCACUACACAAAUGGCAAGGAGUAAUGACGACACUGCUAGAGCUCAAACCCUACACGAACCUCCAGCCCUUGCUGCCAUUAGGUUUGCUAACUGGCAGGAUGAGUGUGUUACAAGGCCCGGUGCAAGGCGUGAAGUCUUUCUCAAUGUAAGCUGGUGUCAGGUGUUAUUCCCUCCGUGGCUUCCUGCCUCCAUAUGGGUACAGGCGCGGUUCUUCUCAUCUUGGGUCGUUUUAACAGGCGGUGUGGAAUGUAUUUCCAUAUGUCAGUAACUCUUCAGGUACUAAACCUAGCAAGUCUUCGUCAGCAUCACCUUGAAGAUGGCUCACAAACAUUGUAUGAUGAAGGAAAUCAGCUCUAAAAACAUCUCCCCCUUAGGAGUAAGGAAAUAUGGGCUUCAUAAGUUUCUAAUAAAUCUCUUCCUGUUAGGUGAAUAGGGGUGCUUUCUACUAGAAAAGAUGAGUGCCUUCCUUUAAGUUCUCCUAAGUAAAAUGCUAAAGAUAAUGGUUUAAGAGCCUUAAGAGGUGCAGUAGAAAUCCCUACCAUCUACACUGAAGUAUUACUUCAUGGGAGGGAGCCUCUGGUUUUGGUUUAAAACUGAAAAGGUGGUCCCUGUAUCUAUUAGGGCUUUGUUUCUCUCUGUCUUGUCUCUCUACUUCUCCCAGGGUGUUACAGAAGAAAGACUGCCACUGUUCCCUCAGAGGAGCCCUAUUCUUGUUUAACUCGGUGUUCUGAUCUGAAAUCUAGUCUGUUCUUGAAAUCUUUCUUCAUUUUUCUACAGUUCCUUUUUUUUUUUUAAACACAGUAAAAGAAAAUGCUAGUCUUCUGUCAGUCGAGGAUUGAACGGGGGUUUGUUAACUGUAGCCUGACCUUGCUUGCUUAAUUGGCACAGUUGAAGCCUCACGAUUUUUUUUCAUAAAUUUAUCUUUAGCUGCGUUGGGUCUUCAUUGCAGCGUGUCAGUGCGUGGGCUUUCUCUAGUUGCAGUGUGCAGGCUUCUCGUUGCAGAGCAUGGGCUUCAGUAGUUGUGGCAUGCAGGCUCUAGAGCGCAGGCUCAGUAAUUGCUCCGCAGCACGUGGGAUCUUCCUGGACCAGGGCUUGAACCUGUAUCCCCUGCAUUGGCAGGCGGAUUCUUAACUGCGGUGUCAUCAGGGAAGUCCCGAAGGUUCACAAUUUUUAUAGAUGUAUCCUCUCUGAUGGUUUUGAAAAGCUAUCAGCCAGCGUGGUAAGGGCAUUUGUAUGUAACACUGACCAACCUAAGCUGUGUUUUUAAUUACAGUAGCCAAUUCCUCAUUUAUACCUUCUGAAAUGGACUUAAGCAAAGGAUCAUUGUGGUGGUUAGAGAACAUUCAGAUGUUAUGCCAGAAUGUUGUUUAAAAGUUCUCACACCAUAAUCUAGGAUUUUAUCUUCUGUUUGCACUGCUGAAUUUUUGUCUAGGCUAUGGCUUUUGGGGAAAACUCUGGGAUAAAUGAGUAAUUUAUGAGCUAAUUCCUUGCAUUCAACUCGAAAAUCGAAGUUUGUUAAGGGCUGUUUCCAUUCUGCUUUCUCUAUCCAUUGCCUUGCUUUACUUUCAGAAAGGAAUAGCUAUAUCACUGGAUACACAUCUGCAAACCCAGACUCACGGGUUUGGAUGGCUAACUCGUAUUCCCUGCAUAUCCCAAUGGGCCUUGACUAGGGUCAGGAAACCCCUUAGCUAAAGCCCUAAGUUUUGCUCGAGUCCAGGGUGUGUAUGUAAGCACAGAGGACAGUGCCCCUCUUCCUGUGAAAGGUUUCUCCUUAAAGGGGGAUAGAAGUACUUCUGAUUUAAUGUCCUCCUUUGCUGGGGGGAGAGGAAGCAGCAAGGGGCGGAGGUGAUGGAAGAGAGAAGGGAACAGCAUCUGGGUCAGGGGGUUCAGAUAAAAGAGGAAAUGAGGGGGAGCAGAGGGAGAGGCAGGGUUAAUACUGGCAGCUUUCAGAAAUGUUGAUAAAGUAAGUUUUGGUUGAUUUCCUGCAGAAGCUUAUCAUUUCGUCUUUAGAAGCUUCUGAAUAUCCAUAAGCAUUCCCUUCCAUCUGUCUGAUCUUGUGGACUGCUUUUGCUAGCUGCAUGCAUACACAGGAAAAUUCUGGAAUGUCAGAAGAACCCAAAUGUGGCCAUUUGAGGUUGUGAUCUCCUUUAGUGUGGUUUCUCCAAUCAAGUAAGUAUUUGCAGGUAUAAAUUCCAUACAUAUUGUACCUGAACCUGGCCUGGGUGCUAGUUGGAGGCUAGCAAUCUGUCCUUUUUGUUUUGAAAGCUUUGUUUCCCAUUCCAAGGUCGAUCUGUUGAGAUAAGAAUCAUUACUGGUGAUCCCAUGGUGGGCCAGCGUGCUGGCUGUGAGCCUGAUUCCUCGGGAUUUUAGCCCCGAGCCAUUGCAGCGCUCUUACAGGUCCUACUUUCUGUAGCCUAAGACCACAGUGGGUGCUUGCAGCACCGAGUGGCCGGCUCUUAUGUGUGUCCCCAGCUGAGAUGAGUGGGUUUCCCUCUACAGAUGGCAGCCCAGUAUGAGGACUUACCUCCACCACUCCCACAAGUUUCCCAGUUGCCUGAGAAAGCCAGUGCUGUCAGGAAGGAGAUGGCUCAUAAGGGCUUUCAGCUCCGAAGAAGGGACAUCUUCAUUUUUAUUCCAAUAAUCUGUUAAAGUAGCCAAAUAAAGGAAAAAUGACAUGUCAGUCUCCCACCUAAUUUCCCAGUCCAACCAAACUCAGUGUCUUUCAACUGAGUAAAAUCUCCCCAACAUCUCUCAACUGGGAUAACCCAGGUUCUUCUUCUUGAAAUUAAAUUCAAGGAAAACCUCCUCCUCCAGUGAGGGAUUUAUCCACCACCGAAUACAAUAGGAUCAGCCAGUAACAGGAGAUCUGAGACCGGGGGGCUCACCAAGGAGACGGCUGGGCACAAGAGGCCUCUGCAGGGCUCAGGCAGAAGAGAAGCCUGCUCCAGGUUCCCUUCCGGUCACCAAAGCCACUGACUGAGGGAAAACAUACAACCCAAAAGCUGCAAGUUAAAGUUUUAAGCCCAGGAGACAGCCUCUCAGGAGGUAAGGGAGGUGCCAAGAUGCUUCGAGUUUUUGCUGGAAAACAAGAAUUUAGUCAAAGAUUACUGCUUAUCACACACACCAAAGCCCCAGACAGUUCAUUACUGCUUAUCACACACACCAAAGCCCCAGACAGUUCAGGUUAAUAACUUUAGUGCUUUUGUUUGUAUGGGAAGAUGAAGAAUCUGGCUUCACUGAAAUUAUUCUUUAGAUGUGCACUUAAACGAUCUAGGGCUGGUACCCGGAGCACAGAAUGUUUCCUGAAUCCCCGCAGGGCAUGCCGUCAGGGCAGCUGCAGCGGCUGAUGGCUUGAUCAUGCCCAGUAUUCUUUGUUUACUGGAAUGGCAGGUGACACUCCCUGUCUACACUGCAUACAUCAUAUUGCUGUUGCUUCGUUAUCAAUGCCUGAACCAUUAUUCCUAUAAAUAAAAAUGAAUUUUCACAUUGUUUUUGAUGUCUAGCAUUAGUAAUAAUAUGGAACCUCUGCAGUGUUUUGUAUCAUAAUACUGACAGAUGACUCAUCUUGUAAACGUACAUCAUUGAUAAAUGCAGUAUUAUAAGUAUUCCUUAUGAUGUUAACAUUUUCUCUAGCUUACUUCCCUGUAACAAUGCAGUGUAUACACACAUAGAAAAUAUGUUAAUUGACUACAUUAUUGGUAAGGCUUCUGGUCAACAGUAUAGUAGUUGAGUUUAGGGGAGUCAAAAGUUACACGCAGGAGAGAGAGUUCCCAAGAUGGCAGAGGGGAGACCCUGAGCUCGCCUGCUCUCAAGGGCAAACCAGAAUUACAGUGUGCGAAGAAUCUAUUGUUGACAAAGACUCGAACCUACCAGAAAAGAUCUGCAAGUGAUAAAGAAGGAAGCACAAGCUGAGUAGGAGGGGCCGAGCCACAGCACCGUCGAGACCCCCCAAAGGAGGGAGAACAAGGUGGCAGCGGAGGGCGUGGAGCUCACCCCCUCCCACAGACGUCAAAUGCAUCUACACGUGGAGCAGUUCUCAGGGGAACUACGUGGAAACUGGCAGAGCUGCUGUACAACCAAGGCUGCAGGAAGAUACGUAACCAGCGAGAUCAGGAAGAAAAGCAUUGGUUCGGGACCCCUGCCCCUGGGAGGGUACUAAGAAGGGGAGAUUGUGCGGGUGGACACUUGCCCUUGGGAGUGAGCCAGGCAAGCCAGACUGGGCCUCCCAGGCCUGGGGCCCUGCGUAGUGGACACAAGCCUCCCUUGGCUGGUUGGAGAACUGCUGUGACAGGUAUGAAGGCUGGAGAAGCCUAGGCUCUGUUCAUGAGGAGUGCAUAGGUGCUGGCUCGCCACUGGACAGGCUGGAGAGAGGUCUGACCUAGUGGCUCCCAGCCUGCCAGGCUCCCCAGUCCGAGUGAGGAGACACACCAUGCACUCCACGCCACACCUCAGCAGUGUUUCUAGGGCAGCCAGGCUCUGGGAGGAGACUCAAUUGAGGGCCACAGGGGUGGCCUAGGGGCCCGGGGUGAGGUCCAGAGGGGGUGGUGGCAGCCACUGUCAGUGCACCACACAGGCAGCCCAGACCCUCUUAACAAUGGGGCUGCUGGAACCCCUACAGCACACCACGAUCCCCCACUCCCAGCUGAGCUCACCCACCCACUCCACGCCACAGCCUUGCACUAGGUCUCGGACAGCCACAACAGGGAAAAGACGCGACACUGGGCUGCAUCCAGCGGGAAGGGCAGACACCAGCACAGACCUCUGUGAGGCACACGAGCCCCACUUGCUCCAGCAAUCCCCUCCUUCGGAGCAACGGCCCCAAUGCAGAAAGAAGGAAAAACACACUUCAAGGAACAGAGCCAUCCACUCCCUUUGAGAUCACAGCAGGACCUGUACUAGCUGCAGCUGGAAAAUCCACCCCAUUUUGGCCUCCGCCCUUGACUCCCUCGGCAAUAGAAGGUGCUACCCGUUUCAGCCUUUCUCCCCUCAAGCACAACAGUUGUAGCAGCACUAAUGCCAGUCACCAGUAUUGCGGAAAACAAUCGCCUGAAAUGAAGAGUCUUUGUAGAAGAUACAUCAUCCUGGUCUUACAAACCAGAGAGGAGAACAACACAUCUCCCUGAGACUCGAGGAAGUAGCUCCAGCUCCACCGUCAGCACCCAAAGCUGAAAUGCUCCUUACACUAUUCCCUGAAACUUCUGUCAUGGGCCAUUUACAAAAUUGAGUACUAUUUCAGUAUUAAAAUGACCUCGUUUUACAAGAAACUAGUGUGCACUUCGUGCAUAUCUGCAUCACCACAUCAAUACAUACAUACAUGCCGUAUCAUACAUAAUACAUUUUAUGUAUAAUCAUACAUUUACCCCGUGCUUAUAAGCAUGUAAUUGUAUUAUUGAUAUUACAUAGAACAUAUACAUUAUCAAUCGUACAUAGCACGUUAAGUCAACUCAAUUCAGGUCAACAUGCAUAUCAUAUCCGAUAGAUCACGAGCUUAAUCACCAGGCCGAGUGAGACCAUCGACCCACUUGGCAGGUGUCCCUCUUCUCACUCCAGGCCCGUGAUCUCUGCGGGUUUCCAUUGAUGAACUUUAUCAGACACCUGGUUCUUAUUUCAGGACCAUCUCACCUAAAAUCGCCCAUUCCUUCCUCUUAAACAAGAC